UACAGAGGUCUCAAGCGUUGUUCGGAUUCAUUGGGCGUAAAGGGUGCGUAGGCGGCGCGGUAAGUCGGGUGUGAAAUCUCGGAGCUUAACUCCGAAACUGCAUUCGAUACUGCCGUGCUUGAGGACUGGAGAGGAGACUGGAAUUUACGGUGUAGCAGUGAAAUGCGUAGAUAUCGUAAGGAAGACCAGUGGCGAAGGCGGGUCUCUGGACAGUUCCUGACGCUGAGACACGAAGGCCAGGGGAGCAAACGGG
rnacentral:rRNA from 1 species